rnacentral:rRNA from 1 species
UAUACAUGCAAGUCGAGCGCAUCCUUCGGGAUGAGCGGCGGACGGGUGAGUAACGCGUGGGAAUGUGCCCUUCUCUACGGAAUAGCCACUGGAAACGGUGAGUAAUACCGUAUACGCCCUCAGGGGGAAAGAUUUAUCGGAGAAGGAUCAGCCCGCGUUAGAUUAGGUAGUUGGUGGGGUAACGGCCUACCAAGCCUACGAUCUAUAGCUGGUUUUAGAGGAUGAUCAGCCACACUGGGACUGAGACACGGCCCAGACUCCUACGGGAGGCAGCAGUAGGGAAUCUUGGACAAUGGGGGCAAACCUGAUCCAGCCAUGCCGCGUGAGUGAAGAAGGCCCUACGGUCGUAAAGCUCUUUCGCCUGUGAUGAUAAUGACAGUACCAGGUAAAGAAACCCCGGUUAACUCCGUGCCAGCAGCCCGCGGUAAUACGGAGGGGGUUAGCGUUGUUCGGAAUUACUGGGCGUAAAGCGCGCGUAUGCGGAUUGGAAAGUUGGGGGUGAAAUCCCGGGGCUCAA